rnacentral:rRNA from 1 species
AGCGAACGUUAGCGGCGGGCCUAACACAUGCAAGUCGAACGCGAAAGGUCUUCGGACUGAGUAGAGUGGCGCACGGGUGAGUAACACGUAGGUAAUCUACCCUUUGGCGGGGGAUAACGUUCCGAAAGGAGCGCUAAUACCGCAUAAGACCACGGAGUCUCCGGACGCUGUGGGAAAAGGUGGCCUCUUCUUGAAAGCUACCACCGAAGGAUGAGCCUGCGUCCCAUCAGCUAGUUGGUAAGGUAAUGGCUUACCAAGGCGAAGACGGGUAGCUGGUUUGAGAGAAUGAUCAGCCACACUGGCACUGGAACACGGGCCAGACUCCUACGGGAGGCAGCAGUGAGGAAUAUUGGGCAAUGGGCGAAAGCCUGACCCAGCCACGCCGCGUGAGUGAUGAAGGCCCUCGGGUCGUAAAGCUCUUUCGGCCGGGAAGAAAUCGCACAGGUUAAUACCCUGUGUGGAUGACGGUACCGGAAUAAGAAGCACCGGCUAACUACGUGCCAGCAGCCG